AUUGAACGCUGGCGGCAUGCUUUACACAUGCAAGUCGAACGGUAACAGGCCGCAAGGUGCUGACGAGUGGCGAACGGGUGAGUAAUGCAUCGGAACGUGCCCAGUCGUGGGGGAUAACGCAGCGAAAGCUGUGCUAAUACCGCAUACGAUCUAUGGAUGAAAGCGGGGGACCGUAAGGCCUCGCGCGAUUGGAGCGGCCGAUGUCAGAUUAGGUAGUUGGUGGGGUAAAGGCUCACCAAGCCAACGAUCUGUAGCUGGUCUGAGAGGACGACCAGCCACACUGGGACUGAGACACGGCCCAGACUCCUACGGGAGGCAGCAGUGGGGAAUUUUGGACAAUGGGCGCAAGCCUGAUCCAGCAAUGCCGCGUGCAGGAAGAAGGCCUUCGGGUUGUAAACUGCUUUUGUACGGAACGAAAAGGUUUGGGUUAAUACCCUGGGCUGAUGACGGUACCGUAAGAAUAAGCACCGGCUAACUACGUGCCAGCCGCCGCUGUAACAC
rnacentral:rRNA from 1 species